UACGGAGGAGGCAAGCGUUAUCCGGAAUUAUUGGGCGUAAAGCGUCCGCAGGUGGCAAUUCAAGUCUGUGGUUAAAGACUGGGGCUUAACCCUGGAAAGGCCAUGGAAACUGAAUAGCUAGAGUGCAGUAGGGGUAGAGAGAAUUCCCGGUGUAGCGGUGAAAUGCGUAGAGCUCGGGAAGAACAUCGGUGGCGAAAGCGCUCUGCUGGACUGCAACUGACACUCAGGGACGAAAGCUAGGGGAGCGAAUGGG
rnacentral:rRNA from 1 species